AUCCUUUGACAACUCUAGAGAUAGAGCCUUCCCCUUCGGGGGACAAAGUGACAGGUGGUGCAUGGUUGUCGUCAGCUCGUGUCGUGAGAUGUUGGGUUAAGUCCCGCAACGAGCGCAACCCUUAAGCUUAGUUGCCAUCAUUAAGUUGGGCACUCUAAGUUGACUGCCGGUGACAAACCGGAGGAAGGUGGGGAUGACGUCAAAUCAUCAUGCCCCUUAUGAUUUGGGCUACACACGUGCUACAAUGGACAAUACAAAGGGCAGCGAAACCGCGAGGUCAAGCAAAUCCCAUAAAGUUGUUCUCAGUUCGGAUUGUAGUCUGCAACUCGACUACAUGAAGCUGGAAUCGCUAGUAAUCGUAGAUCAGCAUGCUACGGUGAAUACGUUCCCGGGUCUUGUACACACCGCCCGUCACACCACGAGAGUUUGUAACACCCGAAGCCGGUGGAGUAACCUUUUAGGAGCUAGCCGUCGAAGGUGGGACAAAUGAUUGGGGUGAAGUCGUAACAAGGUAGCCGUAUCGGAAGGUGCGGCUGGAUCACCUCCUUUCUAAGGA
rnacentral:rRNA from 1 species